AGCGCAGGUGAUGAUAAAACAGGGACUUCAGCGCUCCUUUGGAGGAUGUUGACUUCUGUCUUGGUAUCUCUCUGAUGCACA